AUUGAACGCUGGCGGCAGGCCUAACACAUGCAAGUCGAGCGAGCGGCGGACGGGUGAGUAAUGUAUGGGGACUGCCCGAUAGAGGGGGAUAACUACUGGAAACGGUGGCUAAUACCGCAUACUCUCGGAUAACCCAUAUGGGAUUAGCUAGUAGGUGGGGUAAAGGCUGACCUAGGCGACGAUCUCUAGCUGGUCUGAGAGGAUGAUCAGCCACACUAGGACUGAGACACGGCCGAGACUACUACGGAGACAGCAGUCAGGAAUAUUGCACAAGGGGCUCGAGCGUGAUUCAGCCAUGCCGCGUGUAUGAAGAAGGCCUUAGGGUUGUAAAGUACUUUCAGCGUGGAGGCGUUACCCGCAGAAGAAGCACCGGCUAACUCCGAGCCAGAAGGCGAGGUAAUAC
rnacentral:rRNA from 1 species